AUUGAACGCUGGCGGCAGGCCUAACACAUGCAAGUCGAGCGGAUGAAGGGAGCUUGCUCCUGGAUUCAGCGGCGGACGGGUGAGUAAUGCCUAGGAAUCUGCCUGGCAGUGGGGGAUAACGUCCGGAAACGGGCGCUAAUACCGCAUACGUCCUGAGGGAGAAAGUGGGGGAUCUUCGGACCUCACGCUAUCAGAUGAGCCUAGGUCGGAUUAGCUAGUUGGUGGGGUAAAGGCCUACCAAGGCGACGAUCCGUAACUGGUCUGAGAGGAUGAUCAGUCACCCUGGAACUGAGACACGGUCCAGACUCCUACGGGAGGCAGCAGUGGGGAAUAUUGGACAAUGGGCGAAAGCCUGAUCCAGCCAUGCCGCGUGUGUGAAGAAGGUCUUCGGAUUGUAAAGCACUUUAAGUUGGGAGAAAGGGCAGUAAGUUAAUACCUUGCUGUUUUGACGUUACCAACAGAAGAAGCACCGGCUAACUUCGUG
rnacentral:rRNA from 1 species